UAUCUCUCUUACAAAUGGGUCAUUCCUAUCCCCAUAAACAUUGUUCAGCAUUGUAGGGUGUCUUCCACUCUCACCCCCAUACCUCUUCUCAAGAUUACUCCCUGUGUCUUGGAAUCCAUUAGCUACUUAUCUUCUUUUAUUUACUUUAGUCAUUUAAGUUUAAUGUUUUACUACAUAUUUUGAGAUGAUCAUAUUUUUCCUCCACUUAAUAUCUCAACAUGAUAGAUGGUAGUAAAAAAUUCUUGCAUGUUCACUCAAUCUUGCAUUUCCAAUAUGAACCCUAUUCGAUCAUGUGGUACUUUUUAUAUAUUGUUGGAACCAGUUGUUAUAAUAUUUAACAUUUAGCAUGUAUAAUAUGCAAACAUUUUUAUUUUUAUAGUGUACAUUAAUGAAGUUUUCUGUAAAGAUAAACUAGUCUCAUAAAAAGGUACUCUUUGGAUAUGUUUUAUAACCAAAGAGUUUUUUGUCCCUUGAAAACUUGAUAAAAUCUGUGACAGCAAGUCUAAAAAUCUUUUGAUUAUCUAAGUUUUCAAAUUUACUGAUGUAAAGUUCUUCUGAGUAUACCUUCAUGGUUUAUUUGUUUCGUUCUUUAAUCAUAUCCCCUUUCUAUUAUUAAAAGUUUUAUUAGCAUCCUUUUUUCUUUAUCAGUCUUAUUUUAGGUUUGUCCAUUUUAUUAGCUUGUUUAAAAAAAAUCCUAUUUUUGCUUUUGUCAGUCAUUUAUGAUGUCUUUAUGUUCUGUUUUAUAUGUUUGCUUCUAUUUUAAUUUUUCUUCAUUUUACUUUUAUUGUUUUUCCUCUUUGAUUAUUUUUCAAACCUCUUGAAGUGAGUGCUUUGGUCUUAAAAUUCCAGUCUUUUUUUUUUUUUUUCUUACAUACAAUUUCAUAAAUUUCACUCUAAUCCUACUUUAGAUGUAUUACAAAUUUUGGUGAGUAGUGGUUCAAAGUCAUUCAAUUCUAAAUAGUUAAUUAUUUCCACAUUUUAUAUGAUCCAUGAAUUACUAUAAUUAUGCUUCAUAGUUUAAAAUCUGUGGAAUAUAUUAGCUGCCUUCAUGUGUUUGGUCAGAUUAUGUGAUCUUUAUAUAUGCUGUUACUUCCUUGUUUUUUUGUCAGAGUCAUUGAAAUAUUUAUGCAUUUUUCAUUUGAAAUUAAUAUGCAUCCACUUUUGGCAUAUGUUCUAAUAAAUGUCUCUUGCAUCCAGUUUGCAUAUGGUGUUCAAAUCUCCCACCGUCUUAUUAAUUGGGUUCUGAUUAAUCUUACAGUCUGCGUAGGAGGUUUUAGACUCACUCCAAGCUUCUCCACUUUCUUGUGCCAGUGAGAGUUCUCUAGUCUGUAUGGAAGCAAAAGCAUUUCAAACCCUGAGCUCUCAACAUUCUAAGUAUUGGCGAUAGUUGUACCAUAUUACAUAUCAUUCCUAAAGUGUUUGCAACAGGAAGGGAGCCUCUGGCAAUAGUUCAGUUCUCCAUCUUGUCAUAUCAAGAUAAUGUUUUUAGGAUUGCUAUCAAUCACGUAGCUCGCUUGUGUUAAACUUUCAGUGAGCUACCUAAUACGGUGAGGAGAAAAUCUUUUAAGGUCUACAUGAUCUGGCCCCAGCCUACCACUCUGGCCUUUGAACCACUUUCUUUGCUGUUACAGAGACAUUGGCUUUCUUUCUGUUUCACGAAUACAAUUAGCUGUCUCCACCUACAAUCAUUUAUAUUGAAGUUUCCUUAUAUCUGACAUGAACUUCUCCAGUCUUUUUAGUUCUUUUCUCAUGGAGAUCUCACCUCCAGUGUCAUAGGGUAGAACCAGCUACUAAUUUGGGAGGCACAAUGAAAAAUUGGUUCCCUUUUAUCAAAAGGCAAGAACAAAGUAUAAUUGAAGGUACUAAAAUAUAAAUAUUUCUUCUUUCUUCCAUACUCCCUCUCUCCGUUUGAAAUGGUAUGUUUAAAAAAUUUGUGUUUAAUAUCAUUCUAAGUAAAAAAAAAUAAAUUAUAAGAAAUUUUAACAUUCAUCUUUAUACUGUGAAAUACAAAAUUUGAAUGCAAGUAUAAGAGCAGUUAACUCCUAUGCAGAAUCACCAAAAUUACAUACUUAGUAUUUUGCAGAUCAUACAUACAUAUGUAUUUUGUUCAGACCACAACAGCAGAAAUGGAAAUGUUGCCAAUAACUCAGUGGUUUUCAUUUGACUUCUAGAUAUGCACAUAUUCGUGCAACAUUGUCUGCCUUGGCUUACUGACUAGUAAGCAAAGAUUGAAACGAGAAGGAGUGAUCUCUUCCUUUCUUUCCAUGUUAUCCUUUUCAGUGUUAGUAGUUGGCUAGUAUGACAAGACUCUUGGGUCAUCACUAGUUAGUAGAACAACGUCAUCUUCUUUCUGCAGAGAAAGGGGGCUGUCAGCAUCCUUUUAAACUGAGUGCCAUGUGUGACUUGCUUACCUUGAACUUUCACGCACUAUGGGUCCACCAGAAUUACAUGCUCGUGGGUCACCAUGAACAUGAUGGGUGACUGGGGCUACAAGGAAGGCUGUGCUCACAUUAUGCAUCCCUUCUUUGGUGAUGCACAUGUUCCAUGUCCCAUUAAGACUUCACUUAUGAAACCCAAGUCCAAAGGUAAAAUUCCUAAGAAUUUCAGUUUGGUGACAGGAAAGCAUUAAAUCCAGUACAAGGGUCUUCUGAAUUUGGACCCCAUGUGACUGCACAGGCAGCAUGCCCAUGAAGUUGGUCUGCCUCAGAAAGUCUUUCCUUAAAUAAGUAACCUAAAUUAAAUGUACCCACAGCUUGUUCUUCUAAAGCAUUCUGUUUUAUUUUUAUUAAUAUUUUUCAUUAUCUGAAAUCUUUUUUUUAAUUUGUUUGCUUUUCUGUUUUCUGCCUCUUCCUUCCUCCUCGCACUUCUAUAAUGGAAAAUUCAGAAGAUCAAGGGCUUUGUCUCACCUGUUUCCUAUUAAAUCAGGACUAUAUCUAGUGCAUAAGGCAUGCAAUUAACUUCUAUUAAAUGAAUAAUUCAGUUAAUGAAUUUGUCCAGCACUUAAAGAAAGGUAAACAUUUUUUGUUUAAAGUACAUUCAUUUAAAAUACUCUCUCACACAUUGUCUUUGACAUAGUUUUUAAUAUAAUCUCGUGAGAUUUUUAUAAGAUCAGGGCUUUUAAGGAUGAAUGGUAUUGUAGGAGUUAGAUUUUUCAGUAACCUAGGAGGUUAUCAACAUUUUUUUAUUAUUAUAAUUAAUACAAUGCAGUUUAACAAACAUUGAAAAUCUUAUAUGUAUAAGAUACUUGCAAAAGU
rnacentral:lncRNA from 1 species